GAAUUAUAUGUGAAAUAAUCUGUCUGUAAACAAUUGUUGGAAAAAUGAAUUGCGUCAUGCACAAAGUAGAUGUCCUAACCGGCUUGCCAAAACUAUAGUUUGUUAACAAUACAUUUGUGGAGUGGUUGAAAAACCAGUUUUAAUGACUCCAACCUAAGUGUAUGUAAACUUCUGUAGUAUGUAUGUUGCCUCAGAGCUCAGGACAUCCUCAAAGCAUCAGACCCACGAUGCACCUUUGGGGAGACGAGAGUGCAGGAAGAGACAGACUGUCAAGCUUUCUGUCAGGCUUCUGUCAAGCCAUUUGGUAGUAAGACAGCGUAUCAGAACCUCUGGGUGUGUCAGGGUCCAUGAUGACAGUGUGUGCGUCCUAAAUGGCACACCUAUUCCCUAUAUAGUGUGCUACUGUUGACCAGGGCCCUAUUCAAAAUAUAGUGCACUACUUUAUACCAGAGCCCUAUUCCCUAUAUAGGACACUACCUUUGACCAGGGUCCUAUUCACUAUAUAGAACACUACUAUAGACCAGAGCCCUAUUCCCUAUAAAGCCCACUACCUUUGACCAGAGCCCUAUUCCCUAUAUAGUACACUACCUUUGACCAGAGCCCUAUUCCCUAUAUAGUACACUACCUUUGACCAGAGCCCUAUUCCCUAUAUAGUACACUACCUUUGACCAGAGCCCUAUUCCCUAUAAAGCCCACUACCUUUGACCAGAGCCCUAUUCCCUAUAUAGUACACUACCUUUGACCAGAGCUCUAUGAGUCCUAUAUAGCCCUGAUGUACGUGCUCUCAGAGUCUGUCUGUCUGUCUGUCUGUGGACAGCUUUCACUUCUUACAGCAGAUGGCUUAACUGGGCACAUGUGCAGGCACCGCUGGCACUGCUGAGAGAGAGAGAGAGAGAGAGAGAGAGAGAGAGAGAGAGAGAGAGAGAGAGAGAGAGAGAGACUCAGAGUUCAGGACAUCCCCAAAGCAUCAGACCCACAAUGCACCUCUGGGGAGACGAGAGUGCAGGUGGAAACAGACUGUCAAGCUUUCUGUCAGGCUUCUGUCAAGCUUCUGUCAAGCUUCUUGAUGAAAGUGUGUGCGUUCCAAAUGGCAUUCUAUUCCCUGUAUAGGAUUCAUAUGGGCCCUGGUGAAAAGUAGUGCACUAUGCAGGGAAUAGGGUGCCAUUUGGUAGUCAGACAGCAUAUCAGAACCUCUGGGUGUGUCAGGCUCCAUGAUGACAGUGUUUGCGUCAUAAAUGGCACCCUAUUCCCUAUAUAGUACACUACCUUUGACCAGAGCACUAUUCCCUAUAUAGCCCACUACCUUUGAACAGAGCCCUAUUCCCUAUAAAGCCAACUACCUUUGACCAGAGCUCUAUGAGUCCUAUAUAGCCCACUACCUUUGACCAGAGCUCUAUGAGUCCUAUAUAGCCCACUACCUUUGACCAGAGCUCUAUGAGUCCUAUAAAGGGUUAAUAGAGUGCCAUUUGGGAAUCAACCAGUGUAUUAGAAAUUCUAAGUCUGUCAAGCUUUUUGUUGACUGUGCCUGUGUCCCAACUGGCACCCUAUUCCCUAUGUACCCCGGUCAGAAGUAGUGGAAUGGUUGUGUCAUGACAGUGUGUCUGAGAUGUCUGAUGUACGUGCUCUCAGAGUCUGUCUGUCUGUCUGUGGACAGCUUUCACUUAUUACAGCAGAUGGCUUUGCUGGGCACAUGUACAGGCACCGCUGGCACUGCUGAGAGAGAGGAAGAGAGAGGAAGAGAGAGGAAGAGAGAGGAAGAGAGAGGAAGUGAGAGGGGAGAGAGAGAGAGAGAGAGAGAGAGAGAGAGAGAGAGAGACUCAGAGUUCAGGACAUCCCCAAAGCAUCAGACCCACGAUGCACCUCUGGGGAGACGAGAGUGCAGGUGGAGACAGACAGACGGAAAGGAAGAUAAAAAAAAUGGGAGAGAAGGGGGGAGACAGAGACAAAGAAUGGGGAUUGAAGAGGAGAGGGGGAGGAGAGAGAAGAAAGGCCCAUCUCAAGACCCCCAGCUGGUGUGUUUAUGGACAUAUUCAAUCAAUCCUUAUCCCAGUCUGCUGUUCCCACAUGCUUCAAGAGGGCCACCAUUGUUCCUGUUCCCAAGAAAGCUAAGGACCUGAGGCCUAGGACCAUGCCUCAGGACUAACUGGCCUGAUGACUCCUUGCUGUCCCCAGUCCACCUGGCCGUGCUGCUGCUACAGUUUCAACUGCUCUGCCUGCAGCUAUGGAACCCUGACCUGUUCACCAGACGUGCUACCUGUCCCAGACCUGCUGUUUUCAACUCUCUAGAGACAGCAGGAGCAGUAGAGGUACUCUCAAAGAUCGGCUAUGAAAAGCCAACUGACAUUUACUCCUGAGGUGCUGACCUGUUGCACCCUCGACAACCACUGUGAUUAUUAUUAUUUGACCCUGCUGGUCAUCUAUGAACAUCUUGGCCAUGUACUGUUAUAAUCUCCACCCGGCACAGCCAGAAGAGGACUGCCCACCCCUCAUAGCCUGGUUCCUCUCUAGGUUUCUUCCUAGGUUUUGGCCUUUCUAGGGAGUUUUUCCUAGCCACCGUGUUUCUACACCUGCAUUGCUUGCUGUUUGGGGUUUUAGGCUGGGUUUCUGUACAGCACUUUGUGACAUCAGCUGAUGUAAGAAGGGCU
rnacentral:lncRNA from 1 species